rnacentral:rRNA from 1 species
UACGUAGGGGGCUAGCGUUGUCCGGAUUUAUUGGGCGUAAAGAGCGUGUAGGCGGCCAGGUAGGUCUGGUGUGAAAACUCGAGGCUUAACCUCGAGAUGUCAUCGGAAACCAUCUGGCUAGAGUCCGGAAGAGGAGAGUGGAAUUCCUGGUGUAGCGGUGAAAUGCGCAGAUAUCAGGAGGAACACCUAUAGCGAAGGCAGCUUGCUGGGACGUUACUGACGCUAAGGCGCGAAAGCGUGGGGAGCGAACAGG